UACGGGGGGGGCAAGCGUUGUUCGGAAUUACUGGGCGUAAAGGGCUCGUAGGCGGCCAACUAAGUCAGACGUGAAAUCCCUCGGCUUAACCGGGGAACUGCAUCUGAUACUGGAUGGCUUGAGUUUGGGAGAGGGAUGCGGAAUUCCAGGUGUAGCGGUGAAAUGCGUAGAUAUCUGGAGGAACACCGGUGGCGAAGGCGGCAUCCUGGACCAACACUGACGCUGAGGCACGAAAGCCAGGGGAGCAAACGGG
rnacentral:rRNA from 1 species